rnacentral:rRNA from 1 species
CCUACGGGGUGCAGCAGUGGGGAAUAUUGGACAAUGGGCGAAAGCCUGAUCCAGCCAUGCCGCGUGUGUGAAGAAGGCCUUCGGGUUGUAAAGCACUUUCAGUGGGGAAGAAAGCCUUGGGGCUAAUACCCUCGAGGAAGGACAUCACCCACAGAAGAAGCACCGGCUAACUCCGUGCCAGCAGCCGCGGUAAUACGGAGGGUGCGAGCGUUAAUCGGAAUUACUGGGCGUAAAGCGCGCGUAGGCGGUCUGAUAAGCCGGUUGUGAAAGCCCCGGGCUCAACCUGGGAACGGCAUCCGGAACUGUCAGGCUAGAGUGCAGGAGAGGAAGGUAGAAUUCCCGGUGUAGCAGUGAAAUGCGUAGAGAUCGGGAGGAAUACCAGUGGCGAAGGCGGCCUUCUGGACUGACACUGACGCUGAGGUGCGAAAGCGUGGGUAGCAAACAGGAUUAGAUACCCCAGUAGUC